rnacentral:rRNA from 1 species
CAGAUCAGGCAGGAUUACCCGCUGAACUUAAGCAUAUCAAUAAGCGGAGGAAAAGAAACUAACAAGGAUUCCCCUAGUAACGGCGAGUGAAGCGGGAAGAGCUCAAAUUUGUAAUCUGGCACUUUCAGUGUCCGAGUUGUAAUCUCGAGAAGUAUUUUCCGCGCCGGACCGCAUACAAGUCUGUUGGAAUACAGCGUCAUAGUGGUGAGAACCCCGUAACUGAUGCGGAUGCCCGGUGCUUUGUGAUAUACUUUCGAAGAGUCGAGUUGUUUGGGAAUGCAGCUCAAAUUGGGUGGUAAAUUCCAUCUAAAGCUAAAUAUUGGCGAGAGACCGAUAGCGAACAAGUACCGUGAGGGAAAGAUGAAAAGCACUUUGGAAAGAGAGUUAACAGUACGUGAAAUUGUUGGAAGGGAAACGCUUGAAGUCAGACUUGCUAUUCGGAAUUCAGCCGCAAGGUGUACUUUUCGAUUCGCAGGCCAGCAUCAGUUUUCGGGGAUGGAAAAGGGCAGAGAGAAGGUAGCAGUUUCGGCUGUGUUAUAGCUCUUUGCUGGAUUCAUCUUUGGGGACUGAGGAACGCAGCGUGCAGCAAUGCAAGGCCUUCGGGCUUUUCGCGCUUAGGAUGCUGGUGGAAUGGCUUUAAACGACCCGUCUUGAAACACGGACC